UACGUAGGGGGCAAGCGUUGUCCGGAAUCAUUGGGCGUAAAGCGCGUGUAGGCGGCCCGGUAAGUCCGCUGUGAAAGUCGGGGGCUCAACCCUCGGAUGCCGGUGGAUACUGUCGGGCUAGAGUCCGGAAGAGGCGAGUGGAAUUCCUGGUGUAGCGGUGAAAUGCGCAGAUAUCAGGAGGAACACCAAUGGCGAAGGCAGCUCGCUGGGACGGUACUGACGCUGGAGGCGCGAAAGCGUGGGGAGCAAACAGGA
rnacentral:rRNA from 1 species